CGCGUCUGUUGGAACCUGCGAGGAGGAACACCCUUCCUUUACCCGAUCUGCGGCCCUGGUCAUCGUUGAGACCGCAGGUCUGGACAGUGAGCACCCGCCGUGAUGAGGGCUGGUUGCUGCGGCGGUCCACGGGGUCCAGGCCCCUCGCGCCGACUCUGGAUAAAGGCGACCCCGUCG
rnacentral:sRNA from 1 species